rnacentral:rRNA from 1 species
GGAAGGAAAAGAAAUAACAAUGAUUCCCCUAGUAGUGGCGAACGAAGAGGGAUAAGCCCAGCACUGAAUCCUGUGUUGCUUAACGUGACAUUUGGAAAUGUAGUGUAUAGAUCUGUCCCGUAGUGUGCCAGCAAUGGUCUCGCUACAAGUAAUGUCUGUUGAGAGUUGACUGUGUAGGCGUCUUUCGGGGCGCUUGCUAGCGUAAAAUGUUUUAUAUAAGUUCAUCUAGAACGAGACUUGCACUUUCGCAUAACCUCCCACAGAGGGUGAUAGGCCUGUCAUAUAUUCAAAACUACUCACAAUGGACGGACAAACGCAACUCUUUGUUGCGACAAAAUGGAUCUUGGAGUCGUGUUUCUUGAUAGUGAAGCACUAAGCGGCUGGUAAACUCCAGCUAAGGCUAAAUAUAACCACAAAACCGAUAGUAGACAAGUACCGUGAGGGAAAGUUGAAAAGAACUCUGAAUAGAGAGUUAAAUGAGAACGUGAAACCGAUCAAAGCUCAAACCAAAAAGUAUCAAGUAUCUGAAAUGUUGUUUAGAAUUUUGCUGGUCAUUCAAGUGUGUGCGUGUAAUGUGCACACACUGCAUUUGAUCUAUGAUAAAUUCUCCGCACGUAUAAGUAAGACACUACGAUCAAUUGAAUGCUACAUGGCGCAUGUGAUCAACAUAAGCGAUUGCUUAUAGCACGUGAUAUAGAAAGCACUCUAGCACAGUCUUAAGAGCGAGUAUAUAUUAUGUUAUUGCUAUAUAUUGCUAGAGUUGAGAUAAAAUUAUGUGUCGUCAUACCAAUGUACGCUCGUUCGAUUGUAUUAAAGCGACUAAAACUGUAUUCUCGAUUGUGCAGCAAUGCCAAUUGAAGUGUGAACCUUGUUGACACUUGUGUGCAUCGUUAUGGAUUGCCGUUAAUUUGUUUAAAGGGGACACAAAAAUGUGCGCUACAAGCAAUUGURGUGUGCAGUCUCCCAAAUUGACCAUUUCUUGUGGGCACACCUGAGUGCGCAACAAUCGGUUGGCUCAAUACGCUCAGUUCUAAUCAGUAGUGAAAAUGUAUUUAUGUUUAAUCGCAUAAAUAUAUANNNNNNNNNNNNNNNNNNNNNNNNNNNNNNNNNNNNNNNNNNNNNNNNNNNNNNNNNNNNNNNNNNNNNNNNNNNNNNNNNNNNNNNNNNNNNNNNNNNNAACUAAUGAUAUUGUUUGGAUUUUUGUAUCGUGUGGGCCAUUUUUGGUAAGCAGAACUGGCGAUGUGGGAUGAACCAAAAGCAAUGUUAAGGUGUCCCAAUGGCUCAUGUAGAAACCAUAAAAGGUGUUGGUUGUUCAAGACAGCAGGACGGUGGCCAUGGAAGUUGGCAUCCGCUAAGGAGUGUGUAACAACUCACCUGCCGAAGCAACCUGCCCUGAAAAUGGAUGACGCUAAAGUCACAUACCGAUACAUUGCUGUCAUGUUAUGUGCAUAUAUUUGUAUAUGUAUUAAAAUAUGACAUGUAGGAGGGUACAAUGGUGUGCUGCGAAGUGUUGGCGUAAGCUUGCAUGGAGCCGCCAUUGGCACAGAUCUUGGUGGUAGUAGCAAAUACUUUAAUGAGAUCUUGAAGGACUGAAGUGGAGAAGGGUUCCGUGUAAACAGUGUUUGGACGCGGGUGAGUCGAUCCUAAGUUCUAAGCGAAAGCUAUGUAACUUUAUUAUUUGCACAAAAUAAUAUUUAUAGGCAAAAAAUAUUUUAUCGAUUCUAAAYAUUUGGAAUGUGUAAAUUAAUUUUAACCAAUAUAAAUGUAAUUUAUUGUUUUUUCUCUUAAUAAUUCUAUGGAACGAAAGGGAAAAUGGUUAACAUUCCAUUACUUAUUAUGUAAUGUUUAUAAACGAAGUUCUUUAUAAGUAGUGUUAUACUCUUGUAGUGCAACUUAUAGUGGCAACACAAAUUGCUUAAGGAUACAUCCACAAAACGUAAUGGGAGAGUUAUCUUUUCUCUAUGAAAGCCUCUAUGUGCUCCAUGUGAAUACCGUAAUGGUGAGAAGUGGACACGAGCUUGCAGAGCAUAGACCUGGUUUCUAUGACAUUACAAGUUUUGGGGAGCCUUGAAAAUCCUUAGCAAAGAACACGUAAUAAUCAUAAUAAUUCGUACCGAUAUCCGCAUCAGGACUCCAAGGUUAAAAGCCUCUAGUCGAUAGAAAAAUGUAGGUAAGGGAAGUCGGCAAAUUUGAUCCGUAACUUCGGAAGAAGGAUUGGCUCUGAAAGUUACAAUUCAUGCGUUACUAAUCAUAUUAAAGACUAUGGCGUAUUGGUGCAAUUGUGAUGCAAAAUGGAAUUAUUGUGUGCGUGUUGUGCGCAUCACACACUUCGGUGUGUGUUGUGUGUUUGCGCGUUUACUUUAUUCAUUUUCUCAUUUAGUGCCUUGUCAUUGUCCGAUUAGUGUGUUGUGUGUGCGUUUUGGUGGGUUUGUGUGUUUGCGCAUGCUGCUCGCUGGCGUUCCCGGCACUUUCGAUGCUGAAUUAUAUAUAACUAUAUCAGAACUGUCACGGACAAAGAGAAUCCGACUGUCUAAUAAAAACAUAGCAUUGUGAUGAUUCCAAAUGGAUGUUGACACAAUGUGAUUUCUGCCCAGUGCUCUGAAUGUCAAUGUGAAGAAAUUCAAACAAGCGCGGGUUAACGGCGGGAGUAACUAUGACUCUCUUAAGGUAGCCAAAUGCCUCGUCAUCUAAUUAGUGACGUGCAUGAAUGGAUUAAUGAGAUUCUCACUGUCCCUAUCUACUAUCUAGCGAAACCACAGCCAAGGGAACGGGCUUGGGAGUAACAGCGGGGAAAGAAGACCCUGUUGAGCUUGACUCUAGUUUGACAUUGUAAAUUGGCAUAAGAGGUGCAGUAUAAGUGGGAGUUGUGUAUUAGGGCACAUUGUGCUCAUUGCGCAACAACAAUGAGAUACCACUACUCUUAAUGUUGCUUUACUUAUUCGACGGUAUGAAAUGCAGUCGCGAUAUGUGUAACGAUUAUUACUCAAUAGAGGCUUGCAUUCAUUUGCUUGUUUCAUUACGUUGAGUUUUCUGAUCACUAAGCGACAUGUUUCAAUAUACUGCAGAAAAAAAUUAUGUCAUGAGUAUGUUAGUGUGUGUUUGCAUUCGCGUGCAUAYAUGCGCUCGCAUUCUCAAAUUACGACAAAAUGAUUCAUUUCGAAGACAGUGUCAGAUGGGGAGUUUGACUGGGGCGGUACAUCUCUCAAAUAAUAACGGAGAUGUCCUAAGGUCAGCUCAGAAAGGACAGAAACCUUUCGUAGAGUAAAAGGGCAAAAGCUGGCUUUACUUAAUAUAUUCAGUACAUAUAUAGGUUGCGAAAGCAUGGCCUAUCGAUCCUCUUACAAGUAAUCUUGUGGGUGCUAUUACAUAAUGAGUUUUUAGCAAGAGGUGUCAGAAAAGUUACCACAGGGAUAACUGGCUUGUGGCGGCCAAGCGUUCAUAGCGACGUCGCUUU